UACGUAGGGUGCGAGCGUUGUCCGGAAUUAUUGGGCGUAAAGAGCUUGUAGGCGGUUUGUCGCGUCUGCCGUGAAAAUCCGGGGCUCAACCCCGGACUUGCGGUGGGUACGGGCAGACUAGAGUGCGGCAGGGGAGACUGGAAUUCCUGGUGUAGCGGUGGAAUGCGCAGAUAUCAGGAGGAACACCGGUGGCGAAGGCGGGUCUCUGGGCCGUUACUGACGCUGAGGAGCGAAAGCGUGGGGAGCGAACAGG
rnacentral:rRNA from 1 species